GACGAACGCUGGCGGCGUGCUUAACACAUGCAAGUCGAACGAAGUGGCGAACGGGUGAGUAACGCGUAAUCAACCUGCCCUUCAGAGGGGGACAACAGUUGGCAACGACUGCUAAUACCGCAUACUGAAGGCGGGGAUUGCGUCUGAUUAGCUAGUUGGAGGGGUAACGGCCCACCAAGGCGAGGAUCAGUAGCCGGUCUGGGAGGAUGAACGGCCACAUUGGGACUGAGAAACGGCCCAGACGCCUACGGGAGGCAGCAGUAGGGAAGCUUCGGAAAUGGGGGGAACCCUGACCGAGCAACGCCGCGUGAGUGAAGAAGGUGUUCGGAUCGUAAAGCUCUGUUGUUAAGGAAGCGGUACUUAACCAGAAAGGGACGGCUAACUACGUGCCAGCAGCCGCGGUAAUAC
rnacentral:rRNA from 1 species